rnacentral:rRNA from 1 species
CGCUGGCGGCGUGCCUAAUACAUGCAAGUCGAACGGCUUUUCUAUGGAAGCUUGCUUCCGACUGAGAAGAUAGUGGCGAACGGGUGAGUAACACGUGGGUAACCUGCCCAUAAGAGGGGGAUAACAUCCGGAAACGGGUGCUAAUACCGCAUAGUUUUCUUGAUCGCAUGAUCGGGAAAGGAAAGACGGCCUUUGUGCUGUCGCUUAUGGAUGGACCCGCGGCGUAUUAGUUAGUUGGUGAGGUAACGGCUCACCAAGACGAUGAUACGUAGCCGACCUGAGAGGGUGAUCGGCCACAUUGGGACUGAGACACGGCCCAAACUCCUACGGGAGGCAGCAGUAGGGAAUCUUCCGCAAUGGACGAAAGUCUGACGGAGCAACGCCGCGUGAGUGAAGAAAGGUUUUCGGAUCGUAAAACUCUGUUGUCAGAGAAGAACAAGUUGGAGAGUAACUGCUCCAGCCUUGACGGUAUCUGACCAGAAAGCCACGGCUAACUACGUGCCAGCCGCCGC